rnacentral:rRNA from 1 species
AGUGAACGCUGGCGGCGUGCUUAACACAUGCAAGUCGAACGAGAACGGAUUAUAGCUUGCUAUAAUUGUCAGCUAAGUGGCGCACGGGUGAGUAAUGUAUAGGUAAUAUGCCUCUUACUAAGGGAUAACAAAUGGAAACGUUUGCUAAUACCUUAUACUCCUUAUUAACAGAAGUUAAUAAGGGAAAGAUUUAUUGGUAAGGAAUUAGCAUGUAUUGUAUCAGUUAGUUGGUGGGGUAAUGGCUUACCAAGACUAUGACACAUAACUGGUUUGAGAGGAUGAUCAGUCACACUGGAACUGAGACACGGUCCAGACUCCUACGGGAGGCAGCAGUGGGGAAUAUUGCACAAUGGACGAAAGUCUGAUGCAGCAACGCCGCGUGGAGGAUGACACAUUUCGGUGCGUAAACUCCUUUUAUAUGAGAAGAUAAUGACGGUAUUAUAUGAAUAAGCACCGGCUAACUCCGUGCCAGCCGCCGCAGUAA